AUACGGAGGAUUCGAGCGUUAUCCGGAUUUAUUGGGUUUAAAGGGUGCGUAGGCGGAUGAAUAAGUCAGAGGUGAAAUGCAUAUGCUCAACAUAUGAAUUGCCUUUGAAACUGUUCGACUAGGAUACAAAUGGAGCAGGCGGAAUGAACUGUGUAGAGGUGACAUUCAUAGAUAUAGUUCAGAACAUCGAUCGCGAAGGCAGCUUGCUAAGAUGUGAUUGACGCUGAGGCACGAAAGCGAGGGGAGC
rnacentral:rRNA from 1 species